ACUGCCUCAGAUGUACGGCAUCACAGAGCUCUACAGCCCUCUACUUAGAUUUUGGAUGCUUUCAUCCUGCAAAUUAAUGUCUGCUUUUAAAGCUAACAACGCUUCUCCAGAGAGAGGGGCAGAGGAUGCUUCAUUAUUUCACAGGUGCGUCCAGCCUAUCUAUUAGGGAUUGGGGACAGCAGCCCCCUGCAGACGGGGUUCUAGGGUAGAGCGUGACCGGUUCGGCCGCACUGGGCACCAUGCUGCAGGGGGCGCCAUAACAACGUUGGAAAACAGAGCUAGAGAGGUGGGAGGCAUGUCAAAUUUUAACUGUCUCACAGGGUGCUGCUGAAAUCUGAGAGCCCAAAGUGUGUCACUGGCCCUCCAGGGGUGUCCUUGGACCCCAGCUCCCAUCAGCCCUAUCCAAUGUGGCUAAUGGUCAAGGAUGCUGGGAGCUGUGAUCCCACUUCAACUGUAGGGCCAGCCAUUCCCUAUUCCUGCUAUCAAAAUAUAUAUUCUGCACAGCCCUUUCUGCACCAGAGUGGCACUAUUUAUUUAUUUAGGAGAGGACUGCACCACGUGGAGGACUGUACCCUGUGUGUUCCCCCUCCAUGUUUGAAUCAGUUGAUGAAAUGUCUUCUAUUUGGGGCCUUAGUAUCUUUUCUUCUUCUAGUGCAAGACUUGGUGAUGGUGUGGGAGGGGCCUCGAGGGUCCCAAAAAUGUGGUAAUGUGGACUCCUGAGUGUGACUGGUAAAGGGAACUUAUAGCAGCCUAUCACUUUAAGAAACUGCUGAGAAAGUCUUUCCUUUAGAAGAAGCCCCCCGCCCCCCGAAGAGAAGCUAAAACUCUUAUCACAAGAACACAAGUACUGUAGCUAUACAUGCAGGUUCACACACACACACAAUACAAAGCACAAUAGCUUCUGCAACAAAAUAUAUUUAUGUGAAGGCCAUGCAAGCACAGUGAAUUAACGCUAUGUCAACAAAUAUGCUUAUUCUAGAAGCGCAGGCACACUAAAAUGAAAUGUAACAAAAUAGGUUCUGGCUAACGACAGCUUGUAUGCUUCUUUGAAUGAGGUAAUGAGAAUGCAUAUGUUUGGAGGAAAUUGUAAUGCUUUGUGUAAGAAACCUAUAAGUAACCCCCCCCCCGGCGUUUGGGAGAGGUUCCAGCCUUUGUGGAGCAAUCCGGCUUCAACACUUUACAGUGGUACCUCGUGUUAUGGACAGGAUCCGUUCUGGAGGCCCGUCCGUAACGUGAAAUGCCUGCAACUCGAAGCGCUGCAUCUGCGCAGGCACACGAUGUGAUUUGGUACUUCUGUGCAUGCGCGAGCGGUGAAACCCAGAAGUAACCUGUUCUGGUACUUCCGGGUUGCCGUGGGACACAGCGUGAAAAGACGCAACAUGAAGUGGACGCAACACGAGGUAUGACUGUAUUGCAGUAAAUAAACUUUCUGGAUUCUUCCUUCAACCCGAAUCACGAGUAGUUAAUGGUACAAGUGAGACAGCAGAUUUGCCCCCCUCUCUCCAUGUUUGAAUCAGUUAAUGAAAUGUCUUCUGUUUGGGGGUUUACUAUUUUUCCUUCUUCUAUUGCAAAACUUGGUGAUGGCCCUUAGCAAAGCAAUAAAGACUAUGAGAUUUUUAAUGAAAUGAUUUAUACACUUUUGGGGGCACGGCUCAGUCUUCAAGAGGCGAUUGCACAUACGAGAAAGCAAGUGAAUUUCCGGAAUGGGGCACGGCUUCUGCUUUCAGGCUGUCCCGUAGAAACUUUCCUAUCUGCUUGUCCCUGAGAAGUGUAAGGCAGAGGGAACAGAUAAGGUGAAAUGACGUUGUAUUCACUAAAUCAGUUUUCCAACAGUGUUUCCUGUUAUCUUGGUUGUGGUCCCCCGACAGUUGGUGCAAUCGCCUAUGGGACGCACCUCAUUGUUUUCUGGGAAAUGGAGCUUCUUGUCUUUGUCAUCCCUUAAAUGUAAAAGAGUUUGAAACAUGAAAAGAAGAAAAGGAGCCAGCAAAGCAGAUGUUCUUCUCUAUUAGACGCUUUGAUAGGCAUCCUAAGUCGUUUGAUUUCCCUACCGUAUUAAGGAUAAUUUCCUAUUUCACAGCAUAAUGCAGAAGACAGGCUGUAGUGGAAGCUGACAGGCGGGGUUCCACUGCCAGAAACAUUUCUUCCUCCUAGCGGGAGCUUUUGCAUCGAGCGCAUGGAUUAAACAGCUUAGGAGCAACAGAAAAUGACAAGUUUGAUAAAGCCCAAACCGGCUUAGCAUCUCAAGGUUGGGGAUGGGAGGUCUUAGGAGCUCAUCUCUGUGUUUUAUUCCAGUGCAGAAAUAUGCAGAACACGCAACACAGUCCAUGGGCAAAAUAGAUUUUUGCAGACUCUCGCUUUACAUGGUUAAUCUGCAAAACAGUAUCCAUAAAAAGAAUUGCAGCCAGGGAGUUUGUGUGUGAGAGAGAGGUAUGAAUGGCCUAAUGAUGAUGGCUCCUGCCCUGUUACACCCUGCGAAGGCGCAAUCAGACACUCCUUAGUUGACAAUAUGAAGAGCCCUGCACAUUGUUGACACCAAUUCACACAACAAGUGCCAAUGACCCAGGAGUGUGGUGGUUUGGAAAACAGAACAUAAUGCUUGGUUUCCUAAAUGGGAGACUGUUUCAUUGAUCAUCUUCUUUGUGAGGAGCAAGAAUUGGAGUUCCAUGGCAUGUUCUUAAUACUUCUUUAUUUACAGCCUGGAGAAGUGACAGUUCCCAAAGCAAUAGGAUGGAACCUGCUCUCCAUAAAACCUCAAUCCUGCUUCUUGUAGGCUGCAUGCAAAACUGUGCAGUUUUCCUUUCCCUUCUUCGUCUUUUGCAUGUGCAUGCACACACAGUGCAGAGAAGGGACCAUGAUUUCUCUCUCUCUCUCUCUCUCUCUCUCUCCCUCCCUCUCUCUCUCUCACACACACACUGAUUAUGCGUGGAAUAUCCAUGCAAAAGGUAAAAAAAAGGUAAAGGACCCCUGGAUGGUUAUGUCCAGUCAAAGACAACUAUGGGAUUGUGCUGCUCAUCUAGCUUUCAGGCUGAGGGAGCCAGCGUUUGUUCACAGACAGCUUUCCAGGUCAUGUGGCCAGCUUGACUAAACCGCUUCUGGUGCAACAGAAUAUCGUGACGGAAACCAGAGCGCAAUGAAAGACCAUUUACCUUCCUGUCACAGCGGUACCUAUUUAUGUACUUGCACUGGCGUGCUUUUGAACUGCUAGGUUGGCAGGAACUGGGUCAGAGCAACGGGAGCUCACCCCGUGGCAGGGAUUCAAAUUGCCAACCUUCCGAUCAGCAAGCCCAAGAGGUUCAUUGGUUUAGACCACAGUGCCAUCUGAGUUCAUGCAACACCACUAGUGCUAAUUAAACAAUCAUACAUAAGAAGAGCCCUCCUGGAUCAAGCCAAUGGCUCAUCUUGUCCAGCAUCUUGUCCUCAUAGUGGCCAACCAGAUGCCUAUUAUGGGAUCCCCCAAAGCAGGACCUGAGCACAACAGCACCCUACCCACUUAUAGUUCCCACCAAUAGUAGAGGUAGAACAUGGGCACCAUUGCUAGCAUCCAUUGAUAGCCUUAUGCUCCAUGCAUUUUUCCAUUCCUCUUUUAGAGUCAUCCAAGUUAGAGGCCAUCACUACCUCUUGUGAGAGUGCCUUCCAUAAUUUAACUUGGCACUUUGUGAUUAAGUCUUUUCUUUAAUCUGCCCUUAAUCUUCCAACAUUCAGCUCUAUUGGAAGCCCAUAAAGUCUCUGGGGCAAAAACGACAAUAUUUUGCUUGUUUGGGAGAUGUAGCAAGAGUAACACAGUAAUUUGAUAACAUGUUCCAGACUUAAUUAUUCCCUGCACAGAUGAACAACUAUUCCCCAUGCACAAAAAAUGUCGAGCGUUUCUUUUGGGCUUAGGCUGAAUUGCAUAAAAUGUGAAGGUGGUGGCGAGCUGGCGAGCUGGCAAGCUUUUGCUUAUUUAUCCAUCCUAUUUUCAAGUUCAGUUGUCUCAUGUACUUGCUCUCCACAUGUGAACCCACAUUUUUAAAUUGCAGAAUAAUUUGAAUGUUAAUAGCAAUAAUUAAUUCAGUCUUUUCUUAUUUGCAGUUAGACAUCAGACUUAUUAUUUUCCCACCUAAACUACUGCAUUAUUAACUUUCUUUUUGCGUUUUUAAUUCAGCUGAACUGUUCAGAUGUCAGGAAUGUGAGAUAGGUGUGGGGAGAUGGUGUGUUUAUUAAUAUUCAAACACACUUUGCAGUUUAUUCUUAUUUUAAAACAGAAACAGAAAAGAAGAAGACCUGCCUGUGGUUUAUUUUUCCUCCUUUCUGUGACUCCUCCAAGCUGUGAUGACCAAACAUUUCUUUCAGGGAAGCAGCAGGUCCAUGUUAUUAGCAAGGACCAAUUAAAUGCUACUGUAUCCAUAAACUAAUCAGCAACCUGUUGGACAGAAAUUAAUUAAAACGCACAUGUAAACAUAUGACUGGAAAAAGCACAGGCGCAUAGAAGUCAUUCUGUAUGCAAACGCAAUCAAGCAAUGGCAGCCAAUAUGAUUUGCCUAAUGACCAACUGGGGAUUCUUUGAAUUGAUAAAGUUCAAGAUGCACCAGUCCUAUAUUACAUGCCUGUCAGGGACUGUGCAGAGGAGGAAUGGUGGAGACCGCUGUGACGUUAACAUAUGAGAGAGUGCUGGAGGUGAAAUAGUUAAACAGGUUGCCCAGUCAGGACCCAGGGGGGUGGAGUCAGAGGGACUAUAAAACUAGCUUUGGGAGGAGUUCGUUGGGAGUUGGGUGGUUGGUUGGAGUGGGAGUGAAUUGGGAUAGAGUUGUGGGUAGGUUGAGUUAGUGUAACAAAAUAGGCUGAGUCAGGAACAGUUAGAGGCUAGAAAGACAAGUAAAUAUUGGAGAGGUGGUUUAGUGAGUGAGAGCAGGUAGCGAAAGUUAUAGGACUGGAUAGGCACCCCAUGAAUGUAAUUGACCGAUACUGUUUAUGAAACCACACGCUUGUUAAACUGCAAUAAAUAAACAAAAGUUUAUAUUUCAAUUUAACCCUGACUUGACUCAGUAUUGUCCCAGGUAGGGCUUGGGUGGUGGCAGCGAGAAAUAAAGUGGUGGCGCAGGGAUCAAUAGACAGUGAAACGUCCGGGGGACCCUGUGUGAUCACCACAACUGCCCCCCCAGCCUGACCCUUCCAGAGAAGAAGAAGACAGUUCAGAAUUACAACAGGGGUUUGAGGGAGGUUACAGCUCAGAGGCAGAUGAGGGGCAAAGCUGGGAAAUAAUGGGAGAGGAGGAGGAAGAAGAAGAAGCACCGGGGGGAGACAGCUGAUGGACUCAGUGUUUUUAGAAAGCAUGCAUGACCCCCCCCCUCCCAGAACCCGGUGCACCUUGAAAGUAGGAGAGCAAAGAGUUCAAAGGCAGAAGGUACAGCUCAACACCUGUAGCGAUGUUGCAUAAUGGGAGAGACGGAUGGGGUGGAGAUUUACUCGGGACAAUGCCAUUAUUCCAAGAGGCUGCAUUUCCAAGCCUCUCUCUGAAUAUUGAAUAAAAAGCCUUGGUAAGAACUUUCCUUGUCUUAUCCAUUCCUGGCAACCUACUGGGGGGGAGGGGGUUGGAUCCUCUGACACCUGACACAGCCCCAUUUGGUUCAAAGGGAUUAUUGUCAGUUAAGUGAAUAUAGGUGUGACAUUAACAUAGGAGAAAGUGCUGGAGGUGAAAUAGUUAAACAGGUUGCCCAAUCAGGACCCAGGGGGGUGGAGUCAGUGGGACUAUAAAACCAGCUCUGGGAGGGGCAAAAGGGGGAGUUCGGGGAGGAGUUCGUUGGGAGUUGGGUGGUUGGUUGGAGUGGGAGUGAAUUGGGCUAGAGUUGUGGGUAGGUUGAGUUAGUGUAACGAAAUAGGCUGAGUCCGGAACAGUUAGGGGCUGGGAAGACAAGUAAAUAUCUGAGAGUUGGUUUAGUGAGUGAGAGCAGGUAGCGCAAGUUGUAGGUCUGGAUAGGCUCCCCAUGAAUGUAAUUGACUGAUAUUGUUUAUGAAACCACACACUUGUUAAAUAAACUGCAAUAUGUUUCAAUUUAACUCUGACUGGACUCAGUAUUGUCCCAGGAAGGGCCUGGUGGUGGCAGCGAGAAAUAAAGUGGUGGCACAGGGAUCAAUAGGCGGUGAAACAUCGUGGGACCCUGUGUGAUCACCACAAUAGGAUUGCAGCCUUGUGUGUGUGUCAAGGCGACAUGGGAAGCUGCUACCCCAUUACUGCUGUGCCACCACCCUAAAGGCUCCUUUCCCUGGGUUGUGUGGCUAUGUCUGUGAAGUGGCCAUGGCAGGUUCCAGUGGGAUCUCACCGGAAUCUAGCCACCACUGCUUCCUCUGCCUAUUUGCAAGCAGCAGAGGCAGCAAGGUGGGCAGGGCACCCGUGAGAGUGCCACCUUUGUGGUUCCACAGUACAAGGCAGCUGCCUUAGCCUGCCUCAUGGGUUGGCCGGCUCUGGUGUGUGAGAUAAAUUAUACAUAUAAUUUAGACCCCCCCCCAUCUUUCAGCCUAUGAAACUAAUGCAACACAGAACAAAAUAACUCAUGGAAUCAUAGGGUUGGAAGGUACCCCCCAAAAGUUGGAAAACCGGAACACCUACGUCUGGUUUUGCAGCGUUCAGGUUCCAAGCUGUUCGUGAACUAAGCUGUUUGAAAACUGAGGUACCACUGUACCUUGCUGCUGGCUAUCAAUAAAUGCUACCACAUAGAGAUAAUAGCAGACCUUUCAAGCGUUCUGAGAGGAAGACUCCAAGCUUUUAAAACCACCCUAAAUUCUUUUCACGCCACCUCACUCCAUAUGUACCGAGGGGAGGUUGACUCACAUGUUUUCUCAUGCCCGCAACUUGCCCUCUUUGUUUGUAUUUUAUUUUAUUUUUGUUAUGUGUAUGUGAGGAGGGGAACAUGGGAAAGUACAGAAGAACAAAAGAAAAAGAAUGGGAAAAGAAAGAACAAUGACAAAUUGUGCCAGUGGAAAAGCAGUGUUAGAUUCCAAGGUUAUAAUCUUGGCUGCCCAGCUCUGUGAAAUAUGAAAUUAUUGUUGGCACUGAAGUCUUCUCUAUUGAUUUUUGCUGAGCUCUUUAAUAGAUGCCAGUUGCUAGGAUCUCCGAAAUCCUUUUGUAUAGAGCCCCAAAGUAGCCUUAUGGUUUCCAAGGCUCUUUUACACAUUUCCUGGGACUUGAUCCAAUAUCCAGGUUAUUAAAUUAAACCUUUACAGUUUAAAGUUUACACAUUUGUCCCCUUUAAAAUUUAUCAAUGCAGGCUGGAUUCCAGAUGACAGUGGGUUUGUUGUUGUUUACAAAACAACAGUAGGUGUAUUCACACACAAUGUGUCACCUUUGCCAGCCAUUAAAGGAGUCAUCUGGCAGCUUCUCAGAAACUAACGCUUGAACAAAAACUGAAUUUGUGAUGCCGGUGUUGUGUCCUGAGACCAUUAGGUUUAUUUAGUGAGAAAUUGACAAGGAGAGAGAAAAUUCAGACUGCAACAUUAUUGCCUGGCAAAGGGCUGCCUGCCAUUCAGAGGUUAUUGAUUCCGGUAGAUGUUUAGAUUGUAAAGUGUGAGGAAGUAGAUUUCUAAAGGUUUGGCAUUGAAAUGUCACGGGCGCCCAUUUGAAAUGCUUGUGGACUGAGUGCAUUACGUGCGUCGAAAGGCAAAGCUGCAAAUUAAGGACUUCAUGGGGUUGGGGCGAGAGACGACCUUUGCAUUGUUAAGUUAGCUCCCCCCCCCCAAAGGAAGAUGCCCCCUUUCCAAGGUUUGUCAAGGUUUGAGGGUGGCUACAUUUCAGUAAAAAUGGUGGGGGAGAGGGGGGCAAUCAGGGCCGGAUUUAGAUGAAGAGAGGCCCUAGGCUACACUACUUGUGAGACUCUUCCCCAUCCCACACCCUCACAGCUAGAAGAAAAUGGAAGAGUGUUAUAAACAAAAUUGAGUUAUAAACAAAAUUGAGUGAUGCCUGGGCAGGCUGGGUCGUCCUCUUAUAUACCUGCUGGGAUUGACAAGGCAUCUGACUCUCACCUGAAUCUCAUAGCUCUCCUGUAGCUGCUUCUGAUUAGUUAUCAUUUAACUCUUGGGGGAAAUAAUUAGCAUCACACCUCACGUGCAGGGAAGUUGCCAAACCAAUUAACCAGCUAGAAGGAUUACUGUUUAUAGCACCAGUUUUCCUAUAACUUGAUAUUGCUGGAUAGUUUUGAUGAACUGCAAAAGCAUUUUUAGUUUGCUUUCUGUUGCCACCCUGGAACUUUUCUUUAUUAGUGCCACUUUGUUUUGUACGAUUCCUUGAAAAUGAAGGAAAACAACUUUUCUGCUUGUAUAUGGAAGUGAUAUUUCAAGACAAGUUAUUUACUGUCCAAUUACAACACAGUUGUAAUGUUCACAGUGCUAUAGACAAAAUUAUAGGAAUGAGAAUUUAAAACGAGGUGGGGUAGGGAGACCUGUGGCCGUCCCAAUGUUGCUGUUCCUAUCAUUCCUGACCACUGGCCAUUCUGGCUGGGGAAAAAUGGGAUAAUAUAAUUUUGGUUACUGAGGACAAACAAGAUUGUGUGCAGGCCUGGCCAGGACAUAGGCAUCCUGACUGUGACAAAGGUGACCUGUGUGCUUGCUUGCUUGCUUGCUUGAUUAACAGCUGUUGGGAACUUCAAGGUCCCUGCUCUCCCUUCUUAGAAGGGCAAUGGCACGAGAGGUCCUUUGUAGAUCGUCAAAUGCUAACAUAGAUAUGAAUACAAAUUUCUCUUUGAAUCUGGAGGACAAAAUUGCCACCAGUUGUACCGCGCUCUCAGGAAUGAGCUAGUUCUUUGGAGACAGUUCUUCUAAUCCCAUUAAGACGCCAACAGGCCAGAAGAGAAGAAGAAAAUGGGCUCCCUGAAAAUUAAUGUUAACUUCUAACACCAGAGAGAGGAGCCACAGGGAACCAAUACAACAACGAACCUAAUUUCCCUCCUGUCUCCAUUCGCAGUAUUGCACAGAAGAGGAAAAGGGCUGCCGGGCAUUAUCAGGGGCCUCAUGUUGGCUGUAAUUCAGGGCUCCCAGUAGCCGGUCUUUGCCUGCACGGCAAGAUAAUUAUUGAAAUACUUCUGGUAGCAAACGUGAUGCAUUGAAGAACCUGGCAAGUUCACUACCCACUGGAGAGGUUUCAUGAUGUUAGGAGGUAGAGAGCAAAUAAAAAAUGAAGCCCUACUUCCAUGCUGGGAAGAGUGGAAAAGUAUCAGUGUGGUGUGAUUGAAGAGGGGGCUGGAUUCCAAGAGGGAUUUGAUGCUUUCCAUGGACUAAAUGGUGGGGAAAGAACUCUAAGCACCGGAGGAAAACCCUUCAUGCUGUCUGAAAGUGGCUCUGCAUGAUUGGCAACAAACUAUGGAUUUAGACCCCAAUGGAAAGAUGUUUCUAAAUAUCUUCUCUUUUUUUAAAAAUAUAUAUUUUAUUUUCAAAUUUUAUAAUCACAAUAAUUCAAUACUUUUCCAAAAAACACAAUAUAGACUCUCCCCCCCCCCCAGGCCUUCCCUGGACUCCAAUUUUCUCUCCCAUAAUUUCUUGCAUCUCAUUUUAUUUCUCCAAACUCUUUGUUUUCCCUCUUACUUAUCUUAAUUUCCAGUUGUAUAAUUACAUAAAUGUUAUAUCAAACCUGCUAACGUUUUAAUAUACCAUAUUUUUCGCUCUAUAGGAUGCACUGGACAAUAGGACGCACAUUGUUUUAGAGGGGGGAGAACAAGAAAAAAAAAAUCUCCCCCUCUCUGCCCAGAGCCCCUUCAGCGAAGCGGCAGGAGGCGCUGCGCAGAGAAGGGGAGACUUUUCCCCCUCUUGUUUUCCCCCUCUAAAACAGGGUGCCGUUUAAGGUGCGUUCAGUUGCCUUCAGGCGGCUACCUUGGAAGCCUGGACAGCGAGACGGGUCGGUGCGCACCGACCCCUCUUGCUCUCCAGGCUUCAGGUUCCUUUCGACCUGCUCUUUGGGGCUGGCGGGGGGAAGCCCACCACCAGCCCCAAAGAGCAGGUCGGGGAGCAGCGGAGAGGCUCCUGCCAUAGCCGCGCGUCACCUCUCCAGCUGGGAGAGGGUCGCGGGGCUAUGGCUUCUUCGCUCCAUAGGAUGCACACACAUUUCCCCUUCAUUUUUGAAGGGGAAAAAGUGCGUCCUAUAGAGUGAAAAAUAUGGUAUUUACAGUGGUCUUUUAAAUAGUCUAUAAAUUUCUUCCAUUCCUGCUCAAACUUUUUUUCAUCUUGAUCUCUGAUCUUCACGGUCAUCUUUGCCAUUUUGGCAUAAUCCAUCAUCUUAGUUAACCAUUCUUCUUUUGUUGGUACCUUCUCCUCUUUCCAUUUCUGGGCAAGCAGCAUUCUUGUGGCUGUUGUUGCAUACAUAAAUAGUCCUUUUAAGUCCCUUGGAAUUCCAUCCCCUGUUAAUCCAAGUAAAAAAGCUUCUGGUUUUUUGAUGAAAGUUAUCUUAAACAUCUUUUUCAAUUCAUUAUAUAUCAUUUCCCAGAAGUCUUUUACUUUUCUACAGGACCACCACAUAUGAUAAAAUGUACCUUCCUUUUCCAUACAUUUUCAACAUACAUUUGAUCCACUUUUAUACAUUUUUGCUAAUUUUGUCGGACUCAAAUACCUAAUUUUAUUUCUAAAAUCUUCUCAUUUGAAUUUCUUCUGGGGCAUUGAAGAAUUACCUGGUCUCCCCUCCCCACAACUUCUCAUGGUAAUCUUUUUUAUUCAGCAUUUUCUUUUUCUUUUUUUAAAAAAUCAUUUUUAUUUGAUUUUACAAGUAUAAAUUUAUUACAAUACCAAAUACGUAUCCAUAUAAAGAGAUUUCUCUGAAUCUUGAGCCUUCCCUCCAUCCUUUCCAUGGGUCCUAUUGUCAACAUUUCCAAAUGCAUAUUAUUUCAUAAUCUGUAUUUUAUUUCUAUCUAAAUUAUCCAUAGUGUUUCUUACAUUACAAGUGAGGUUAAAAUCCUGCUAAUGUUUUCAUCUGCUUACAGCGGUCUCCUAAAUAAAUUAUAAAUUUCCCCCAUUCUUUCUUGGAGUUUUUGUCUUCUUGGUUUCAACAUUUUCAAACAAAACCACCUAGUGGUAGACUGAUUGGGGCCACAGAGGGAAUUAGAGACUCAGCACACAGCCCUGCCAGAAACAUUUGGUGAGAGAGCCACAGAGGGAGUAACAUCCAGCUGCUGGGCUGAAAUGGCUAGUUCAUUCCAGAGAUUGACUCCUUUAGGCCUCCAUACUCAGUCCAAUGGAAGAGGUGACUGAAACUGUUCUAGCAGUGAGGUGGUCUGGAGGACCAUAAGGAACAGGAAAAGCUAUUUCAGCACCAUUUUUCCUCUCCACUGUUGAAGGCAGCAUCCCCUUGAACACAUCUCCCCUUGUCGCACUGCUUCCCCCCAGGGAAAACCACUAUUUAGCGCUCAAUGGGAGCAAAGAGAAAUUUGAAUUUUCUCUGGAUUGAUGUUUGUUCCAAUUUAGCACUAAAGAGUGGGUUUUCUCUGGGAAAGGAGUGGGGCAAGGGGAAAACCACUCGGACUGACACCUGGAAAGUGGGGAUCAAGCAGUAGACACACAGAAGUGUGAACUAACUCAGAGUGCUGGGCUUAGAUGGGCCUUCCUGACCUGAUUCACCAGACAGGUUCCUCUUAUUUCUUCUGGCAUCUCCCCUGCUGCCCAAAUGGAGCUGAUAAGCUCCUCUUUUUGCAUUUGUUAUUCUGCCAAGUGUCACGCGUGUGGAUGGCAUGGUAUCAAUAAGUAAUGGCCAACCCCUGUAGAAAGGGACGACAAUGCAAAGAGCUGGAGAGCCAAGUCUUUUGUUGCUAAACUUAGCUUGACAGUGAAACUAUAACAAUGGGGCAUUCUGGGUGUUAAUGCACCAGCUUCCCCCCCAGUUGAGGCCUUAAAAUCAUCAGCUAUAAUUCACUAUAAAUCCCCUCUCUUCCUCUCUCCACUAUUUUUUUUUUUUUUUUUUGCCAUCCAAUUCAAUUACACAGUGUCUGGGACAGGAAAAAAAAUGUGUUCACAUUGCCGCAGUUCAAGCCAGAUCAUAAAUGUAGGAGACAAUUACGCAGACGCAGUGGCGACAGAGUAGAGUACUAUAUUAUGCUGACCGGCUCUGCCUGUCUCCAUCCCCCUUUCCACACAGAUCCAAAGAGCCACUGGCAAAGCAAUUUAGCCUGUUGGAAAAGGGACAGUGUUUAGACACUGGGAAAUAAUUGAGAGUUUGCGUGCAACGGAAAGGAAGUGGCAGCAUCCAAAAAGCAGGAUCAGUUCCAAGCUACCCAAGGCAGUUAAUUAGCCAAAAACAGUGUUGGGAGGAAAGGUUUAUCAAGGUCUGAAAAUAUCGAGCCUCUUUUACACACCUCCUGGAGCCAGGAAACCAUUUUCCAUUGGCUGUCAGGUGGAAAUGAAUUGAGCCCGUAUACUAACGGGGGACUCUCUUGCGCAAAUGACACGGCAGUGGGGAUAAUUUCAUAUGGUAUGAAAAAUCACGAAGUGUCGCAUAUGGUAUGCAUUAGGGCUGCGGCAAAUGAGAUGCCGGACUAGGGGAAAGACUGCUGUUCAGUGGAGAGGAAUGUGCGUGCAUGCAGAAGGUUGCAGAUUCAAUUCCUGGAAGCAUCUCUUGGUAGGGCUGGGAGAGACCCCAAUCUCCAAGCCCCAGAGAACCACCACCACUCAAUGCAGAAGCAAUGCUAAGCUUUAUGGACCAGUAGUGUGGCUCAUCCACACUUACUCUUUUCCUUGUUUUUUCCAGGCAUAGGUUCACACUGUAAUGCUACAUGUCUGAGCUCCUUCGUACCUUCCUUCCUUUCUUUUUCUUUCCUCCAAGCUUUUCCUGUGAAAUCCAGCUCUUUAAAGCUGGAUCAGAUAAAACAUCAAGUUUUCCAUGGACUGACGUUUGCUCUGGUUGAGCUUUAAAGAGUGAGUUUUCCUGGGGAAAGCUCCAGAGCAAAAAAGGGGGGGCACUCGGACACAAAGCUAUAUAUAAAUUGCAGACCAUGCCUGGAAAGAGCAGAGGAAAGGUAUGCGUGACUAAGCUCUCAGAGUAAGACAUAUUCCUCUGAUUAGAUGGACCCUCUGUUCUUAGGCCAGAGAAUGCGUCUUCCAGGAAAGAACAAGCCCCAGCACCCAACCUCUCUCUCGCUUUAGGAAUAAGUCCCUGCGGAGUCAACCCUAUUCCACACAGGAAACAGAAAUCUGGAAGCUUGCCAGCAUCCAGCAAAGUGUCCCAAACAUUUGCUAGAUAAAGUCCCCUUUCUCAGAAUUAUAAAUGCUUGGGGACGUAGGGAUGGUGCUUGCAAUUUCAUAGUGCAAGAUUCUCUUAAUAGGGCAAUUUCCCUUCUGUGGCAGCCAGCAUAAAUACUACUGAAAAUUAUUCAUCAGCCAUAGGGCUCAUAAUAUGGAACUCGGCAACUUGAAAUGCUCAUUUCAAGCAUGACCUGCGUAUUCCUCCAAUUUUAUUCUGAACUCCGUAAGAACUCGCCCCACUCUAUGCAAUGCUCAGAUGCCCCAUCUCCGAUAGCCAUCUCAGAUAGGCCCUCUGACCAGCAGGGUCAGAAAUGAAGGUACAAGGAAAUGUUCAGGAGACAGAAGGAGAGCUAUCCAACCAGGUAAUGGAAUUAGGAGCCUCAAGCCAGGGAACUGGUUCAAAUGCUUCCUUAGCCACUAUGGGUUCCUUAUGCUAUGAGUUGUCUGCUGGUGCCAGUGAUGGACAGGAGGGAGUGGCUCUAUCUCUCUUUCCCCAUGCACCUGCUGUAGAACUGGCAUUCUUGGAGGAUCAUGAGAGGUGGGGGAAGAAGGUUCACAGGUCAUGGAGGACUUGAGGCUCAUAGAGAGGUGGGGGUUGGAACUCAUCAGGUCCAUAAGUGGCUUCUAUUUGAUCUGAAUUGACUUGAGCAAUCCAAGUUUUGUUGCUGAUUAGAAAUAGCUUGAAUUAUCCUAAUACAAUUCAGGGAAAUGAGCUUAGAUAUUCAUUAAAAUAUGUACGCACAACCUGCUGUUCAUCUGCAUGGGAGCCAGGGCAGGGUACAGCAACCCAUCAUGACUGAAUACUCUGUCAGUUUGCAUUUCUCAGUGCAGAAAGUCUUGAUGUGAUGUGUAGAGAUCUUUCCUAUUCUACUUAAUUCAAGAGGAUUCUGGAAGCUUCUCUGUGUGAAAGAAACUUCAUGAUGUUUGGGUUAUUCCUUCAGAGAAGCUGAGUACAACUGGUUUAAACUGGUUCUGUUAUCUUUUUCUGUCAAGGUCAGGCUGAUAGCAGGGACAGAAGGAGCCCGGGUUUCACACUUUCUCUUUGUAUCUCUUUUCCUUCUGGUGUGGUGUUCUGUACAUAGAUAGUGUUAAGGUUUAGUCUUUUUAUAAGUUGCUGUAAGUCUGAGUUAAGUCUGCUGCAACGGGAUUUCUUAUGGACAUGGCCAAUCUUGAAUGUAUUGGAUUUGUGACCAUUAUGCUCAUUUGCCUUCAGUAGUGGUAAAACUCUGCUAGAUGAAGUACAAUUGCCUCUGGUCUAUUUUUUUUUGGGAGGGGGGAAUCCUGCAACGUGCUUAAGUUUUUAUCCUGCCUAUUAUACACUGGAAUCCACUCUGGAUCAAUACUGAGUAGAACUUUCACUGACAUACUCUUGGUGAGGAAGAGGAAUUCAGAGGCCUGUUAAGAACAUGAGAAGAGCCUGUUGACUGGAUCAGGCCAAUGGCCAGGAUCCUCUUCUCACCGUGACUGGCCAGAUGCAUCUUCUGGGAAACCUGCAGGCAGGAUUCGAGCACACGAACACUUUCUCCUCCUCUAUUCUCCAGCAACUGGUACUAACUGUUCCUUUAUGCAACAGCUUCAGAUCUGGUUCGCUGCAGAGAAGCAGGCAUAUUCUGAGAAACAACCCUGACCAAAUUUGUCUGAGUUUACCAGACACUCCUCCAGGGGGCUCAGCCAAGGGCCAGAGUUGAGCUCUUACCCUUUAGCUAUUGCUCCAGCACCUUUACCUCUUGUAUUUAAUCUCGGAGCCCUUGAGAUUCAGCCCUUGGAGCCCUUGCCUUCAGCCUGCGUGAAGACAGAUAUUGGCAGUAUAAUUGGGAGCCUGCCCUGCUAAUCACUUUAUUUUGCUUGCUUUGUAAAUCAAGGAAGCGGGGGCAAUUGGCAAGCCCCCAGCUGGUCCAUCCCACCAGCCGGUGUACCGGACAAACUCCAGUCCUUGGUGCUGCAUGAAUCAGCGACCCGAACUUCAAAAGCUAGGGCACGCUCUAAUCAGCAAAGAUAACACAACGCAACAGAAGUGCCGGGAGAGUAUGCGUGAGCAUAUGUACAAGCAGUUUAUUCAGCAUACAUCAGGGCGAAAGGAAAACAUGUCUGAUCCCUUUUGUGUCCAAAGCAAGCAGCAUAAGCAAAAGCUGUACACAAACGGAAGUUCCCAGCAAGCUGUGCUGGAGUGUAAACAGGCAUGUGACAUACAACAAUUUCACACGUCUGUUCUUAAGGUGGAACGGAAUAUCCCAACAGGCAAGCCCACCCCACAUGACAUCACAUCCUUUGUUUGUGCCUGGCGCAUGUGUGCACGCACCAGGCAGUACCAGGGGCUGGGUGCAGAGGGUGAACGAAACCCACCAUGCCAGUCUAACUGUUGUCACUGCUGCCGCCAGGCAGGCGCAGGGCAUGGAGAGUUCAUGAGGCUGCACUGUAAUGCCUGCCCACAUGGGGGGGAGCCUGUCCAGCCAACAUAGCCCUUGGCAGAUGCAUCCCCCCAGCGCUGACCAGGCGGCCAUUCAGUGAGGGGGCCGUGGGUGAGGUGGCAAGGCCAGGCCGGGCUCCCGGGCCUAGGUGGCAGGCAGGGUGGGAAUCCCUGUGUGGGGACACCUGGAUUGCACCCCCUCAAAAUCAUGCACCCGGGGCUAUGGGCCCCCUGGCCCUCCCUGCACUACACCCCUGUCCCACUCUGAUCCUUAGCCCUAGAAAACUCAACACCUUGUCAUGGGUUUUCAUGAUAUUUGAAUGAAAAAAAAUAUGAAAAAAGUUAAAUACAACAAUUUCAAACUGCUUUUUCUUAAUGUUGAUUUCAUUGCUUUAUUCUUUUUCUAAACCACUUGGAAGUUUUGUUUUUGCACUCAACUGGACUUCCAAUCCAGAUCAAUGGUUGCAUGCAUCUCAUCAAGAUGUCAGCAGAUUAAGGAAGUGUGUAUUGUAAACGGGGGGGGGGGGGGGAUACAGGAGGGAGAGAGGAUACAUAAGAACCCCGCUAAUCUCUUCUGAAAUUUCUUCCAAGUGGAAAGGCCACUGCUUGGUAUGCUCCCUUAUUGGAAUUCCUUAAUUUAUGGGGACUUACCAACCUUGAAAUGUCAGCUUUGUGAAAUCAUUUCCAAUAAACCAAAUGUUAAUAUUCUCCAGGAAAGGAACAACAACAUCAAUUUCUCUAAUAUUACUCUGAGGCCAGCUUUUUAUUUGUUUUUAAUGGCGUCUCCUUUCAAAUAAUCCACAGAGCGAUUCAUUUUGUGUGGAGCGAAGGGAUUUGCUUUACAAAUCUGAAGUUAUCCAAUGGGCCCCCAUGUCCCAAGAUAUCUGAGAUACUGUAGUAGACUAGUUGGAGUGGAGGGGCAACCCAACUGUGUAAAAUAUAUUGCGAGAUUGUCAAAUUCCUUGCAAUAUUGUCUUACUCCAUGUAUGCCCACCCUACUGCUUUGGUCUGUGAGGUGGCGCUGUUAUAGGUGCCCCAUAAUACUCAUUCCUCAUUUGUAUGAAAUCAGUCUUUGAGUGUGGCAGCACCCAAACUUUGGAAUGCUCUGCCCAUUGACAUCAGAUGGGCACCUCUUUUCAGUGUCUACUAAAAGUAUAUUUGUUUAGGCAUGCCUGUCCAGAUAUGUAGUAUGUUGACAUGUGUUUUAAUCCAGUUUUUCGUUUGCCAUUGGUUUUAAUGAUAUUUCAUUGGGGGGGAAAUUACAAAGUUAAAUACAACAAUUUCAAACUGCUUUUUUUACAGUUGAUUUCAUUGCUUUAUUGUUUUUGUAAACCACUUUCAAGCUUUGCUUUUACACUAAAAAAAUUAUGGAAUGAAUGAAUGAAUGAAUGAAUGCACAACUUUGUACUCCAGCAAAGGAGACUGGCCACCGUGGGGGCAGAGGGCCUUCUCGGUAGUGGCGCCUGCCCUGUGGAACUCCCUCCUAUCAGAUGUCAAGAAAAUAAACAACUGACUUUUAGAGGACAUCUGAAGGCAGCCCUGUUUAGGGAAGUUUUUAAUCAUUGGUGUUUUAUUGCAUUAUCAUUAUAUAUUAUCAUUAUCAUUAUCAUUAUCAUUCUGUUGGGAGCCACCCAGAGUGGCUGGAGAAACCCAGCCAGAUGGGUGGGGUAUAAAUAAUUUACCAUCAUCAUCAUCAUCAUUAUUAUUAUUAACAGCCAAGGAGAUGUUGAUGCUGCCACCACCAUCACUCAUGUCUUCUGUUGCCUGAGGCAGUUGCCUCACUUUGCCAAAUGUUUGGGCCGGCCCUCUUCAAUUAUUUUUGAAGGCUGACAAACAGAAAGAACAAAAGAGAGGGAAUUGAGGUUAGGAGACAUCUAUGGGGGAGAUGUCUUAAUUAUCUGGAUAAGAAGUUCCUUAGAGAGCACCGAUGAACAUGAACAGUUCUCUGCCCUGGUUUUUGAUCAAAUGGAAUCAGGGUACAUAAGCGCUGAUGGCAUUUGGCAAGAGCUUGAUUGAAUGUCUUCUUUAUGGCACAUGCUUCCUGCACUCAGUGUGGCUAAUGAAUGGUAAUUGCACAAGGGACAGCUUCCUUGUCAUCAGAACCACCCAACUAAUGAGGUCUUGUAAAGCGAUCAGCUUGCAUCCUCAGCCUACCCCUCUAUGAGUUGGGGUGGGAAUGUGUGUGAAAAUCUACCUGUUAUUGUAUUUAAACAAACAUUCUCCCUGUUGGCUUGCUAAUUGGCUGUCAGAAAAAGCAAACUGGCUUGGGAGAGUGUCAGUUCAUAGGCUGCAAAAAUCCGCUGGCAGGUAACCUCUGUCUUGAGCCUGGGGGAACAGAGAACAUUGGAUUCAGCUGGAGCCACGGUCUCCUAAUUUCAGAGCGAAGACUUUGGGAAGAUUUUCACCAUUGGUACCUGGUGUCUGGAUCCUGAAUGCCUUCUAAGACACUUCUGCCUGGGCCAUGUACCAUUUAUUUAACUCCAACAGUGUGCUGUUGCUGGAAAUAACCAAAGAUAAAACAUCUCUGGGACUGCAAAGCAACAAUUACUGGGAAGAAUGUUCCUCUCUGGGUUCUUCUGGGUUCCUAAGAGAUUUCUGGGGACAACCACCCUCCAUUUCUCAUCUCAGUUCUUUAUUUGACAUAACUUGGGGGAGGGGUUCAGCAGGAGCUGAAACAUCAAUGAAUCAUCUCAGCAGCACAACGUGACCCCAUGCAAUUAUGGAGUCACACUUCAACAUAUAUAAUUAGAGUUAAUUAUGUUGUUGCACAAUGGGUUGCCUCUCGCCCCUUAUGCCCUGGACUUGAUGCCAGCAAACAGAGAUGGGCUUCCUGAAUGUGUGGAGGAACCACACAACUGUUUGAAAUCGUUUGUUAUAAGAAUUUUAAGGUCUCAAACAUAGAAUAAAUAUUCAUAAAUGCACACAUAUCUAAAUAUAUGAACCAUGUGUCUGAAAUAAUACAGGAGAGCAAUCCUGAAGUCAUUUUGACCCUCCCAAUGACCUCAAAUAUUCCUUUGCAGUCAAGGAGGCAAAUGGGGAAAGUCUUCCCAUGGUCUUUUUGCUUGCAAAUCCUGUCUCCAGGGCGUAUUUGUGUAUAAAUAGGGUGAGUCUGUGACCUGGAUCCAGGAACUAAAUUAUUAACCAUCACAAAAGAAUGGCCAGACUGCCCAGGUAAUGCAAUCAGUGACCAUUAUCAGGUAUCCUGGCAGGCAGGAUAUCUGCUGUAGACUGCCUCCUUCUGUGAUGUAUGUAUGAUGUUUGGGGGGUGGUGGUCAUGGGCAGGGGCAGAGGUAGCUGCUCCAGCACCUGGAACAGCCACAUGCUGUGCACCCGGGGGUGGGGCUCAGGGAUGACACCUGGGGCGGGCCACACCCACCGCCCCCCCUUCCUCCUCCAGUGGCCACGGACUACAGGGUGGACAAUUUCAAAAUAAUAAUAAUAAUAAUAAUAAUAAUAAUAAUAAUUUAUUUAUACCCCGCCCAUCUGGCUGAGUUUCCCCAGCCACUCUGGGCAGCUCCCAAUCAAGUGUUAAAAACAGUACAGCGUUAAAUAUUAAAAACUUCCCUGAACAGGGCUGCCUUCAGAUGUCUUUUAGAAAGAAGAUAGCUGCUUAUUUCCUUCACAUCUGAAGGGAGGGCGUUCCACAGGGCGGGCGCCACUACCAAGAAGGCCCUCUGUCUGGUUCCCUGUAACCUCACUUCUCACAAUGAGGGAACCACCAGAAGGCCCUCGGCACUGGAUCUCAGUGUCCGGGCUGAACGAUGGGGGUGGAGACGCUCCUUCAGGUAUACAGGACCGAGGCUAUAUAAGGGCUUGCACACCAUUGUCCAGAAUUCUCUUCCCUCCUAGGUGUGGUGAGUGGGGACCCUGUUGCAACAGUUCUUUGAAUAAAGAUCAGGCUUACUAGCUGCUUUGCUUCUCAAUAUACUCUGGUUGGCCUCUGUUGUUUUCUCCUGCUGAUAGGGAACCCACUUUAGGACUCUAUACGGGCUCUGGAAUACCGUAUAACGGAAAGGGGGCAGAUUUUCUUACAACACUUUCAUGGAUUCUGUGUUUGACUCUGGUUUCAGAUUUGCUCUGUAUUUGCUAACAGUUCAUGUCUGUUUUUAGAAUUAAAACUUUUUUAUCUUGCCAUUCCUCCAAGGAGUUCAAGCUGAUAUACUGUACUUAACCUCCUAUUUUAUCUUCAACAACCACAAGCCUGCGAGGUUGUUUAGGCUGUGAGAUAGUGAUCGAUUCAUGGUGGUCAUGCAGCAAAAUUUGUGACUGAAUGGGGAUUUAAAUUCUAGUCUCCUUGAGCCUAGCCCAACACUCUAGUCACUACACCACAUUGGAUCUCUAUUAAUGGUGACUCUCAUUCUGAGUUGUCAUUUAUGGUGAUAACAAAACAGAAGACAUAAGAUAUUGUUGCAUGCAGCCCCAAUCUCUGAGUAGUGAGAGACUUCAGUGGUUGUGCGCUUACCAGGGUUCAAUUUCCUUGGAAUGAAGGUCAGAGGAGGCUGCGGUGUUUUGAAGAUAUAUGGUUUUAUUCACACAUCUAUACAACAUGAACACAGGAUGGAGGGACUCACGACAAUAAUGCCCCAUCAGAUCUUGCUUUUCCAUCAGUCACAGCUUGGGAUCCAGCACUGAGCAAGGCAUAUCUCUGUCACCAGCUUUUGAAGCCUGCUGACAGCUCACUUACACAAGCAACUCCCUAGCCCAGCCCAGCCCUCUCUCCCCCCACCCUCGGUCCUUUUUCACUUAGAUGAAGCUAAUUGCAACCUGGCACUUGCCUUUGAAGUGUUCAUCAGAGCACUAAAAUGGCCACCUGGCCUUGCCUUCAAAGAAAUUUGUCUGAGCCAUUUCCUCAACUUCCCUUAAAUUCAUAACAAUGCUAUUCAGGACACCAAGUACACUAAAUACUGAAACUGUUGAAACAGAGGUUACUCCUUGCAGGGGAACUCUGGAGGGAGAGAGGGUUAAGGAUCUGUGAAAAUAAAAGAAUUAUCUGCAUCCUCAGUAAACUACAAAUUCCAAAGUUCUUUCAAAGAAGCAUAGCCGGUCCUACUGUCCGCAAAGUAAGGAAAGCUGACUGAGCCUCAUGAAAGGGAAUUAAAUGGUUGGUGGUCUAUUAUUCUUUUUGUACUGCCAGGGUGAGUAAUAAGGUCUUGUGGGAUUUUCUGCCUCACCUCCCAAAAUACUGUAUCUUGACCAGAUUUGGGCAUUCUGCACUUUGACUUCAAGAGAGCUGCUCCUGUUCGGGCAGCAAAAUGUCUUAGGCUCACCCCGGAGAGAAGUCACAGAAGUCUUGAAACAAUUCUUCUUCUUGUAUCUGCAGUUUAGUCAUUGAGCCAAGUUAUUCUGGACAUUAUCCUUGAGUAAAGCACAUGAAGUCAAGUCUAUUGGAGGUGAAGCCUAUUAUUGCCUGUAGCAGCCUUUGCCAACAUGGUGUCCUCAGAUGUUUGGACUACACCCCCAUCAAUCUCAGCCAGCAGGGCCAUGCUCCCAUCAGCACUGGAAUCAUACAGCUGGGGUUGGUGGGAAUUGUAGGCCAAAAUAUCUGGAGGGCACCAGAUUGAUAAAGGAAGCUCUGAAGCUUUCUGCAUUUCCUGGAGGAAAACCAGCAGAAAUAUGCCCAUGAACUAAAUGGUAGGUGACACUGGCAGAAGCAUCUUAGAGGUGGGUUCAUGUCCACCAGAAGAAUUGGCAGCCAAAAUGGAACUCGCUAGAAGGAUAUGCAAAUCCCUGGCUUACUGUGAGAGAGGCCACAGAGGACUGUAAUGCAAUGUAUUGGCAAUGUAUGUUUGCCAUCUGGCUCCAUAAAUCCAGGAAGGUGAAGGCCACCAACCAACUUAGUUACCCUCAAUUUGGUACCCUCAAUAUGUUUGGAACUCCAACUCCCAUCCGCCUAUAACAGCUGUGAUAUUUAGUCCAAAACACCUGCGGUGUCAUGACCCCUGAAUCUAGGAGUGAUCUGGACACAGAGUUGGAGGCUGCAGGGGCACCAGAUGGGCAGCCUGGUCUUAGUCAUGGCUCAGAAGUGAGUGUGGAAGAUAGGGAGACCACUGCACCUGGGGUGGUUGGACAAGACCUCCUGGAGAAACCCACCAGACUGCCAGGGCCUGGAUCUUCACAGACACUUUUCCCUGAGCCUGAAGAACCAGAUGCCUCCCAAUGCACAUCUCAAGUUGGGUGCACAGGAAGCAGACCAGAAGGGAGGCUAUGGAACAGAGGAAGAGUGCCCAUCUUUGAUCCAGAGGGUUGGCCCUUUAUAACUCGAAGUUCUUUCAAGGGAGUGGGGCCUGCAAGAGGCAGUCUGGAGAUGGGAGCAUAAAAAGCUUCAGUCUGCUCCAAGCAUUUGUUAGAGCAAGCUGUUUGCUUGGAGCUAUCUGUGGUCCAUAAGUUUUGCCUCCAGCUUUCCUGUUUUCCCCAUGGGUUCCAACACUGGCCCAGAACAUGACAUAGAGGACAUCUGGUUGAGGAAGACUGAUUUAGAUGGUUGGCUCUCUGAAAAUAACGUGGGAAGUAUACUAUUGCCUUCCUGUCUCUCUCUGUCUCUCUCUCUCUCUCUCUGUGUGUGUGUGUGUGUGUGAGAGAGAGAGAGAGAGAGAGAGAGUGCAUACCCACAAACAGGACUCUGGGAAAGAGAAUGCUGGACGAAACAAGUCUUUGGUCUGAUCUACCAGAGCUUUUCAUGUCUUAAAGGAAAUACUGGUGCCCAACUAGUCAAUUGAAUGUGGUUGUCUAAAGCCCUAGGCUAGUGAGUCAUCGACUUUCCAAAAAUAGCUGGCUGCCACUCCUGUGAUUUAAGCCAUUGAUUUAUUAAUAUGGCAACACACACACACACACACACACACACACACACGACAGAGAGAGAUCAGCAGACUCAGAAAUGCCCUGUGUCUGCCAACAUUUGCAGAUGCACAACAAACCUUUAGGAGGACAAACACCCAAACUAGCCAGUGAGGACUCAGCAGAGGGGACAGAAUGCUGGCUGACUGGCAGGAGGCAGCAAAACAGCAGGGAGGAGGAAUGGAGAAUUUUGGAGAAGAGAAUGGCUGGUAGGCCAGGACCCUGGACAAGAGCACUCCAUGUUGCCAGAUUUUGUUGAAGUUCUCAUUCAUAAUAUGAAUCGUUUUGAGAACCAUUGCUUGAAAGGUAGCCUGCAUUGUACGUAAACAUACAUAAAAACUGUAUGAUCCACACAUCACCUGAAAUGAGCAAUAGGGACUGGCCCCAGAAUGAGCUUCGUGGCUGAGUGAAAAUUUGAACACAGGGUUCUUCUGUCCCUUGAAGCCAUGGUUGUUCUCAUUGGAGCUGGGGGAAUUGACAUCCACCCCAACAAAAUCCAAUCCUCAAGCCUUGUAGAGCCACCCUGAGGUAUGCCUUUGACCUUUAAAAGCUUUCCAUUUAACAGCUGUGGGAAGAUUUUUUAAUUAAUUUAUUUUUUUUAAUCAGGAGCUGCAGAACAUCGCAACAGCAAGCAAGCAAGCAAGCAGUGUGUGUGUGUGUGUGUGUGAGCAAAAGGCUCCCCCCUGAACUUUACCUUGGCUCCCUCUGGGGAGACAAAUACAUACAUUGGAGAGACUUGGUUUGCCUUUGUAACUAAAAGCCUUUCCAGGAGUAAACACCACCACUCUUGUCUCCUGCUCCUCGUUGCCGAGAAACAAAUGCAGAAAGCAGAAGAGAAUGUGAACCGAAGUGCUCCACUUUCCAUAUUUCCUCAAGCAGUGAAAGGUUCUAGGAGCAGUAGUAGCCAGGUUAGGCUUCAUUUGAUGAAGAGAGUGCCAGGGACUGGUCCAUUAGGGCAAGUGAGGCACUGCCCCACCAUCCUCAGUCUGCUAUCAGCCAACCUUCGAUUAAUAAUAAUAAUAAUAUAUUAUUUAUAGCCCACCCAUCUGGCUGGGUUUCCCCAGCCACUCUGGGAGGCUUCCAACAAAACACUAAAAUACAAUAACCUAUUAAACAUUAAAAGCUUCUCUAAACAGGGCUGCCUUCAGAUGUCUUCUAAGAGUUUGGUAGUUAUUUUUCUCUUUGACAUCUGGUGGGAGGGCGUUCCACAGGGUGGGUGCCACUACCAAGAAGGCCCUCUGCCUGGUUCCCUGUAACUUGGCUUCUCACAGCGAGGGAACCACCAGAAGGCCCUCAGCGCUGGACCUCAGUGUCCGGGCAGAACGAUGGAGGUGGAGACGCUCCUUCAGGUAUACUGGACCGAGGCCGUUUAGGGCUUUAAAGGUCAGCACCAACACUUUGAAUUGUGCUCCGAAACGUCCUGGGAGCCAGUGUAAGUCUUUCAAGACCAGUGUUAUAUGGUCUCGGCGGCCACUCCUAGUCACCAGUCUAGCUGCUGCAUUCUGGAUUAGUUGUAGUUUCCAGGUCACCUUCAAAGGUAGCCCCACAUAGAGCGCAUUGCAGUAGUCCAAGGGAGAGAUAACUAGAGCAUGCACCACUCUGGCGAGACAGUCUGUGGACAGGUAGGGUCUCAGCCUGCGUACCAGAUGGAGCUGAUAAAUAGCUACCCUCAACACAGAAUUGACCUGCACCUCCAUGGACAGCUGUGAGUCCAGAAUGACUCCUAGGCUGUGCACCUGGUCCUUCAGGGGCACAGUUACCCCAUUCAGGACCAGGGAGUCCUCCAUACCCACCCGCCUCCUGUCCCCCAGAAACAGUACUUCUGUCUUGUCAGGAUUCAGCCCCAAUCUGUUAGCUGCCAUCCAUCCUCCAACCACCUCCAAACACUCACACAGGACCUUCACUGCCUUCACUGGUUCUGAUUUGAAAGAGAGGUAGAGCUGGGUAUCAUCCGCAUACUGAUGAAUACCCAGCCCAAACCCCCUGAUGAUCUCUCCCAGCGGCUGCAUGUAGAUGUUGGAAACCAUGGGGGUGAGAACAGAACCCUGAGGCACCCCACAAGUGAGAGCCCAGGGGUCUGAACACUCAUUCCCCCCCCCCACUUUCUGAACACGGCCCAGGAGGAAGGAGCGGAACCACUGUAUGACAGUGCCCCCAGCUCCCAGCCCCUCUAGACGUCCAGAAGGAUAUUAUGGUCGAUGGUGUCAAAAGCCGCUGAGAGAUCCAGCAGAACUAGGAAACAGCUCUCACCUUUGUCCCUAGCCUGCCAGAGAUCAUUGACCAGUGCGACCAAGGCAGUUUCAGUCCCAUGUUGAGGCCUGAAUCCCGACUGUAUCAUCUGUUACUAGAGUCGGAAACAAAAUACGAGCUUGUCAAAGCCUCAAUGACAUACUGGGCAGUAGACAUAGGUCACAAUAUAGAUUUCAACAUCUGGGAAAAACUCUGGAAAAGUGAUUUGAAGUUCACAGCAUGUUAUUCUUUGAAGGAGAACUACUUGAAAAUGAUUUACAGAUGGUAUUAAACUCCUAGUAGGCAUGCUAAGAUGUAUGACUGAAUCAGAUAAAUGGUGGAGAUGAAAAGCGGGAGUGAAUAUUUUGUUACAUUUGGUUGGACUACUAAGAGUAUUGCUUUUUUAAAACAAAAACAACAACCUAGAAGGAGCCAUGUAGGAUUCAGUUGUACAGUGAUACGCAACCAAUAUAUGGCCAACACAUACUGUGACAAAUUUCAACCUGCACAUCAGCAGGUGGUCAGUGUAAAAGCAAUGAGAAUCCCCAGAUGUACAGCCAUGCAGGUCUGCAGUUAGUCUUGAAAAGAAGCUCAAAGAAAUGGUUCCUUCCCUCUAAGGAUGUGAACUGCAAACACUUUAACUCUAAAACAGCAAUUUACAGUGGUACCUUGGGUUACAAAUGCUUUGGGUUACAAAUGCUUCGGGUUACAGACUCCGCUAACCCGGAAGUAGUACCUUGGGUUAAGAACCUUACUUCAGGAUGAGAACAGAAAUUGCACGGCGGUGGCAGCGGGAGGCCCCACUAGCUAAAGUGGUACCUCAGGUUAAGAACAAUUUCAGGUUAAGAAUGGACCUGCGGAACGAAUUAAGUUCUUAACCAGAGGUACCACUGUAUUCCAAUUGUUCACAAUGGCAUUAGCAGGGAUAUACCUUCUCUCAUCGGCUUCCAGGUUGCUUUGUGAAGCUGGGCCCCAGUUCUCUCCCUGCCCCAUCCCAUUCAACCGAUCUUCAAAAAGCUUUUAUACUCUUAAAAAAAUAUGAAUACAUAUAGUUUAAUUAUACUUCUAAUUAAAAACAAAACAAAACCCUCCAGUGGGCCACUGGGUCAGCUUCUCCCCCAUUAAAAAUAGAUUUCAUGCAUGGAGCAUAUGGUGUGUGUACGAUUAGUCCCUCUGAAUCCUGACAUCCCCUCAAAAGGUUUUGUUGUUCCGUCAUGAAAUGUAAAAUGUGCAAAGGGGCGAUUGUGGGACCUGGAAGGGUAUGAUUUCAAAGCUGAGAACACAAAGCACUUCUCCAGGGCCUUUGUUUUAUGAAGACACAGCCCCAGUCAAAGCUUUGAUGCACACCUGGCCUCUUAGCUGUGCAGGCAAGCUAGGCAGCAAUGUGGCUCCUGUGAAAGAUGAGUCCUAUUGUUACACGCCUCCCUGAUCUCCACGUGUGGGGUGAGAGUCCAGGGGUUGCAGGUGCACUAGCUAGGGUUUGUUUCUUUUCCCUUUUGGACAAUGAGGUGCAGCAGAGACUGUGCUGUUUUUAAUGAUAUAUGUUUUAUUUACUCAUACGUAUAAACAACCCAAACCUAGAUGGCGUCCUGGAAAUUCUAUUCAAUAUUGAUCCAGAGUAAAUUCCAACAUAUACCAUAUUGGCCUGAAUAUAAGCCACCCGACCCCGACCCCCAAAAAACACCAGUGGAUAGACAUAGCAAACUGCUUGUAAUCAAUACAUUCAUUCAGACUGCUGUUUUCUUUAGAGACAGGGAACCUGUGGCCCUUCAGGUGUUCUUGAACUCCAGUUCCAUCAGCCCCUGCCAGCAUGACCAAUGCCAAUGACAAGGGAUAAUGGGAGCUGCAGAUUCCCCAGCCCAGGAUUAUGUGAGCUGCCAAGUGCUGUCUAGAACUCAGACAGAGACUUUUCCCACCAACCCUAUAUUUAAUAUAUCCAGAGAUGUCAGAGAGUGUGUUCUGUGUUCUUCCCUUGAGUUCCUCUCAACUGAACCCUGUUGGAUGGGUGCAUAAUUAAUUAACCAUGCCCACAUCUCUGGAGAUAUUUGUAUGUAUUUUUUAUUGCCCAACAGCUGUCAUAUGGACAUAUGAAGAGGCUUGAUAAUGGCGCAGACCAUCCCUGAGUCAACAGGAAUGAGACAAUAGUGGCUAAGUGCUCUGAGCUAUGUGCACAAGGUACCCACAGGGCAAGGCAACUGAUGGUAGCAUCAUUACAUGGAUCUCUCAAUGAGCAACUUGCACCAACAAAGGCCUGAGGUGAACUGAGCCUUUAUAAGUCUCCAGAUCUGAAGCACCACCCUAGUGGCUCUUAAAGGGCCAAACCCCUGGCCUUCAGAAGAGCACUUCUUCCCUUUCCCGUGGCCUCACAUUUGGCACAUUCACAUACCUGUCGGCAGGUGUUGCAGCACAGGAAGCCCUUAAUCCCCUGAUGAGUCAGACUCAGGGGGCAGUGUCCUUGCUCAGACUCUGUUGGUUCUGGACCAUCACCCUUAGGUUCUGCAGACUCUAAAGAACUGCAAGCCAUGGGGUUCAAUGGCCAAUGGCCCAUCUAGUCCAGCAACCAGAUGCCUCUGGGAAGCCUAGAAGCUUGGCAUGAAUGCAAUAGUUUGUAGUCCAUCAGAUCCAGAUUUGGCUAACCACCUCUUCCUCUGAACUGGAGGAGGAGUGGGGAAACAAGACUACAAAGGCAUGUGAAUGCUAGAAAAAUCACCUGAUUUGGGGAUGUCUGGUUUAGGACUAUGAAUCUAAAAUAGAUGGAUUUAGCCUUUCCCCUAAGAGCACAGAUGAGGUGUCAGACAUGAAAUAGGAGGUACGGUAUAUCACAGUUACCACUUUCCGUGGACUUGAAGCCGCACAAUAUUAUGUGGGGAAUGUAGACUUUUCCCCUUAUAACAUGCAGUUUCUAGGCCUUUGUUAUAUUAUAAAAGGUCAUUCCAUCUGGGUUGUUGUUGUUUUUUUAAUAAUGCUCCUUCAUGCUUUAAUGAGGUAAUUAGACACUGUAGUACAUUGUUUGUACAUAAUUUGCAAAGGGAAAGGCAAUUAAAUAUUUAGUGCUGUGUCCCAUGGUAACAUCUGGGAUUUCUAAGAUGAGUUUAAAGACAAAUUAAGAGCUGUUUAUGGUCUGCUGCAUGAACGGCAGAGGAAUUUGUUCACAAAGGCAUUGCUUGGAACUGCUGGGACUGGCAUUUAAAAGGUAAGUGUGGCCCAAUGUGAGUAUAUGUAAAAUUGUGCACCUCAUGGUGAAGUUCAUAACUUCAUACAUAUACACCGAUAAACUGGAGGCAACUGACCAGAUAAGGGAUCUUGAGCUGGGCCAUAGCUAGGGAGUGGUGAGGAAGGCCCCUGCCAGGGGCGCAGACAAGGGGUGUGCGCAAAAUCGGCUUUAAAAUAUGUCCAUAAAUAUGUCUAUAAAUAAAAAUAUUGAUUAUUGCCUCAUAAGAAAAGGUUUUAAAUACAAGGUGAAGUGCGUGAGGAAUUGAAUGGAGGGGGGUUGGAGGAGAGGCAAAAAGAAGAGCUAAUUUGUCCAUGACUAGGGGGCGCAAUCUGGACGGUUCUGCCAGGGGCGCAAGAUCUUCCAGCUACGGCUCUGAUCUUGAGGUCAUAAUUCACUAUAGAAUCUGCCACUACAAGAUGUGGCGAUGGGAAGAAGAAGAAGAAGAAGAAGAAGAAGAAGAAGAAGAAGAAGAAGAAGAGUUGUUGUUUGGAUUUGAUAUCCCACUUUAUCACUACCCGAAGGAGUCUCAAAGCGGCUAACAUUCUCCUUUCCCUUCCUCCCCCACAACAAACACUCUAUGAGGUGUGUGGGGCUGAGAGACUUCAGAGAAGUGUGACUAGCCCAAGGUCUCCCAGCAGCUGCAUGUGGAGGAGCGGAGAUGAGAACCCAGUUCCCCAGAUUAUGAGUCUAUAGCUCUUAACCACUACACCACACUGGCUCUCUGUGACUUAGAUGGUUUUAAAAGGGCCUUAGAGAUAUUCCUGAAGGAUAAUGCUAUGCAUGGCUACUAAUCAUGAUUACUAUGUUCUGCUUCCAGUAUCAGAGGCUGCAUACAAUUGAACAGCAGUUGUUGGGAAUCAGAAGUGAGGAGAGCACUGUUGCACUCAAGUCCUGCUUUGUAGGCUUCUCAAGAGGAUCUAGUUGGACACUG